UUGAGGCAGGAGAUAAAUGAAUUUGGUAGGACUAAUUCUGCAAUUGAAAAAUAAGCAGUUCAGUAUUGAAGAGAAAGAGGAAGAAUAUAAAUACCGAGGUGGGAAAUUCUGGUGUAUUCUUUGAAAUAUUUUCAGAGACAAACCACAGAAUGGGAACGUCUAAUACUUAUGUGGCAUACCUUGGAUUCUUGGCAGAUGAUAUCCAUUCAACAUAUAUUCUAGACUUCUGCUUUACAUUUUGUAAAAAUGUAGUUUAUAUGUAGUUUCAUAACAUAAAAUAACCUGUCUCCAAUUCAAUGCCCUCCAGAUGUGGUGUUAUUAAAUUCCCAGAAUCUAAGAAGCAAGUUUCCUCCAGAAGACUGAGUCAGCGCAGUAAGUUUGUAGAUUUUAUAUCAUUUAGUAGCAUAAGUUUUGAGCAUAGAUAUUUUCUUAUUUUCUAGGACAGGAGGCUUUUAUAAAAUGCAAGUUUUAUAAUUUUAUAAAGCUAUCAGUCUUCCUCUAGUUAGAUGCCAGUUUACAAAGCCACGGACCAAUAUUAGGUACUUGGGAUUCCUGAUUCAUGCAUGACAAAAAUAGUCGCACCACCCAUCUAAGCAUUAAUGAUUAAGCUUGCAAUGAAUAUCUGAUGAUGUGAGAAAAUACAAAGUAUAAACAUCAAGUACUACAAAGAUAUUUUAAAGAACAGUCUUUAUUUAAUAACUGUGUUCCUGAAUCAAAACUUCAGCGUAGACUGCAAAGCAGAAAACAUAGUAGCAAUUAUAAAUAUCACAUGAGCACACUGUGUAAAGAGCUUUUUGGCGUCUGAAUUGAACAAGGAGUGCAAAUUGCUUUAAACUGUUUUGGCCAGAAAGGAUUAAUCAUGGAAUUUGCCUGGCAAAAUUUCAGAAGUCUACAUCACUAUAGAAAAACAAUAAAAUUGUGUUGUACUAUACAAAUGUGUUCCAUUAAUAAUUUAUCCAUUAUUCAAGAAGAAACAUAGCAUUUUCUAAGCCUUUUCUCACAUUGAGACAAUGACAGCUGAGUGCUCAUCCAUCUACACUAAUUGUGCAACAAAAGAGAAAUAAGUCAUUAAAAGCAGAGUGAACAUUUGAAUGGAAAAUAUAAGACUGGAAUUAUUUUUAUAUAAAGUGGCACACUAUUUUCUCAAGACAUACAAUUUUUAUGAAAUGAAAUUAAAAUUUUGAACAUGAUCUAAAUAUAUGGGUGUUUUUUUUGCAAAUUUUUACUUUACAUAAUGCAAAAGUGGCAUAUGAUCAAAUGUAUUGACAUUGAAGGUUUCAUUCUUUUUCACAUUUGCACAAAAGGGAACCCCAUUAUCAUUACUUGAAUUAUCUACAAAAAAGCAUAAAAUUGGGUGGCCGGUGUCACCGAGUUCAAUAUUUAAAAUAUUUAGAAAUCCUCAUUGAUAUUCAAAAUGCUUAUUGAUUUUAAGUCACAAUCCAAUUUUUAAUUUGAUUUCUGUUGUCAACCGAGCUGACUUAGGGAAAAAACUCUGGCUACAUUUGGGCUGAGCCUGAAAAUGUGUUUAUCUGUAAUAAUGAUUAUGUCGUAGGCAUAUUAGUUCCAUUCCCAGUCCAAGAAAAGAGACUACAUUCAUGCACAGCGCUAUGCUACAGCCAAAUCUUAACACAGGCUAGUAGGAUGCAUUCAGAUUUAAUGCCUAAAUAGACUAUUGGGUAUGGGAGAUAUUGAAAUUAAGUAUAUCUUCCUUCAACUUUUAUUAUCUUAGCCUGAUUUCUAUUUCCAGAUUAUUAUUAUUAUUAUAUUAUGAAGUUAACCUAAGAGCUGAGGAUCUCUGAGCUCUGAGACAGAAUGCUGAUUUGAACUUCACACCCAUUUUUUCUACUGUUUAUUACAAGGCAUCUUAAGUUCUUUCGUCCAUACAAAUCAAUGGCCCGGUUAAGAGAAAUGUGCUAUAAAACCUGAACUAUAGAAAUUAUUGGGGUCAGGAUUUAAUUUAUUGCCUUACAUUAAAAGAAUUUAUCAAUCUAACCAUUUCAGGUAUUGAAAUGAUUUGCAUAUGGUCCCUUUUAAUGUAAACAUUUGAGGGAAUUGCCACAGAUUUUGGUUCCAUAAAUCAACAUUAAUGUCAACCUAACAACUGUAACUUGAAGUUUAUACAGGAAACAUAGCCAACUAUAGUUUGAAAAUAGAAAGAAAUAAGACAGGAAAUCAAUAUCUGAAAGGAGAUUGGACAUAAUUAGGAAUGUUCACAAUUCAACUUAUACAUUUUAAAAUUGAAAAAAAAGCUAUUCAAUAUCCAAAUUAGAUUUCAUCAACAAAUAGAAAUCAAUCAAAAUGAAUGUAUCCAUCCAUAAAAGCAAUCACUAUUUUACAACUGUAUACCACAGUUGUUCUCAACUUGUGGUCCACGGACCUCUGGGUGGGUACAAUGUCAUCAUAAGAGGGUCCGCAAAGACUUGAAGAAAUGUUAUAUUUAAAUCUUGAGUUAAGUCUUGGUGGUUCAUGGCCUUGGUGUGUGGCCCCAAAAGAUAUUUAAAGGGGGUCUCCCGGUGAAGAAAAGAUUGAGAACUGCUGUGGUACACAGUAAUGUCCCCUUCCCAUGCCAAGCACAGUAGUCUUAGAUCUGUAGUGCAAACUAAGAUAGUAAAACACUACAAAUUGUUUGCAUUUUGUCAACAAAAUAUUAAUUUUAUAACUUUAGGCUCCACAACAUUAUUUCCAAAACCCUCAUUCCUAUAAGCAGCUGUUUUAAAUUUGAUUGGGAUAUUAAUUAAUUUCACUGUCUAUAUUAUAGUAUAAACGUGCAAUAUUACUAUAGGAAUUACUAUAAAGAUUUGCAUUUAUAUUAAGUUCAAUUUGAUUUAAAUUUAAAUUAGUUUUUGAAAAGGCAUGUACCUGAUGGUGUUUUCAGAUAUAUACAUACAUACUGGUUUGCAGACAAAUACACUACUAGGUAAACAUACUUUCCCUCCAGUCUUUCCCUCAUUGCUAUA